rnacentral:tRNA from 1 species
GGAGGGGUGGCCGAGCGGCUGAAGGCGCAGCAUUGGAAAUGCUGUGUACGUUAAUUCGUACCGUGGGUUCAAAUCCCAUCCCUUCCUCCA